GAUGAACGCUGGCGGCGUGCCUAAUACAUGCAAGUCGAGCGAACAGAUAAGGAGCUUGCUCCUUUGACGUUAGCGGCGGACGGGUGAGUAACGCGUGGGUAACCUACCUAUAAGACUGGAAUAACUCCGGGAAGCCGGGGCUAAUGCCGGAUAACAUUUAGAACCGCAUGGUUCUAAAGUGAAAGAUGGUUUUGCUAUCACUUAUAGAUGGACCCGUGCCGUAUUAGCUAGUUGGUAAGGUAACGGCUUACCAAGGCAACGAUACGUAGCCGACCUGAGAGGGUGAUCGGCCACACUGGAACUGAGACACGGUCCAGACUCCUACGGGAGGCAGCAGUAGGGAAUCUUCCGCAAUGGGCGAAAGCCUGACGGAGCAACGCCGCGUGAGUGAUGAAGGUCUUCGGAUCGUAAAACUCUGUUAUUAGGGAAGAACAAAUGUGUAAGUAACUGUGCACGUCUUGACGGUACCUAAUCAGAAAGCCACGGCUAACUACGUG
rnacentral:rRNA from 1 species